GAGCGCAAGAAUAGAUGGCAUCAGCGGCGGAUAUCAUCUUCAAAGGGUUGACGGGGGCGCUGGCAGCGACGACGCUCUACUUGACAGCUACCUUCUCCGUCAACCUCUAUCGGGGCAUCUCUUGGCACAAUGCUCAAUCCAAGUUGGAGAAAGAAAAAUAUGAAGAAUGAAGUAGACAGGAAGACUACCUGCGAUUCUAUUCAGAAUAUUUGUUAAUGGGAUAAUAGGCUAUAUAUCCUAUUCCUAUAUUAUUUUGUUCUAGUUGGUGGUCUUGAUGCUUAAACAUCAGUUUUUGACAAGGUAUCUUAAAGUUGUUCCAGAGACAGAUAUCAGAAAGAGAUUGCUUUCUGUAAGGACUGCGCGUGUAACCUUGUUUUCUCUGUUAUAAGAAUCCUCUUCCCCUUUUUCUUAUUAGUUCA